rnacentral:rRNA from 1 species
CGUUAUAACCGGCGAUUUCCGAAUGGGGAAACCCAGUGUGUUUCGACACACUAUCAUUAACUGAAUCCAUAGGUUAAUGAGGCGAACCGGGGGAACUGAAACAUCUAAGUACCCCGAGGAAAAGAAAUCAACCGAGAUUCCCCCAGUAGCGGCGAGCGAACGGGGAGGAGCCCAGAGCCUGAAUCAGUGUGUGUGUUAGUGGAAGCGUCUGGAAAGGCGCGCGAUACAGGGUGACAGCCCCGUACACAAAAAUGCACAUAUUGUGAGCUCGAUGAGUAGGGCGGGACACGUGGUAUCCUGUCUGAAUAUGGGGGGACCAUCCUCCAAGGCUAAAUACUCCUGACUGACCGAUAGUGAACCAGUACCGU